GCUCAGGAUGAACGCUAGCUACAGGCUUAACACAUGCAAGUCGAGGGGCAGCAUGAACUUAGCUUGCUAAGUUUGAUGGCGACCGGCGCACGGGUGAGUAACACGUAUCCAACCUGCCGAUGACUCGGGGAUAGCCUUUCGAAAGAAAGAUUAAUACCCGAUGGCAUAGUUCUUCCGCAUGGUAGAACUAUUAAAGAAUUUCGGUCAUCGAUGGGGAUGCGUUCCAUUAGGUUGUUGGCGGGGUAACGGCCCACCAAGCCUUCGAUGGAUAGGGGUUCUGAGAGGAAGGUCCCCCACAUUGGAGCUGAGACACGGUCCAAACUCCUACGGGAGGCAGCAGUGAGGAAUAUUGGUCAAUGGACGAGAGUCUGAACCAGCCAAGUAGCGUGAAGGAUGACUGCCCUAUGGGUUGUAAACUUCUUUUAUACGGGAAUAAAGUGAGGCACGUGUGCCUUUUUGUAUGUACCGUAUGAAUAAGGAUCGGCUAACUCCGUGCCAGCAGCCGCGGUAAUACGGAGGAUCCGAGCGUUAUCCGGAUUUAUUGGGUUUAAAGGGAGCGUAGGCGGACGCUUAAGUCAGUUGUGAAAGUUUGCGGCUCAACCGUAAAAUUGCAGUUGAUACUGGGUGUCUUGAGUACAGUAGAGGCAGGCGGAAUUCGUGGUGUAGCGGUGAAAUGCUUAGAUAUCACGAAGAACUCCGAUUGCGAAGGCAGCUUGCUGGACUGUAACUGACGCUGAUGCUCGAAAGUGUGGGUAUCAAACAGGAUUAGAUACCCUGGUAGUCCACACAGUAAACGAUGAAUACUCGCUGUUUUGCGAUAUACAGUAAAGCGGCCAAGCGAAAGCGUUAAGUAUUCCACCUGGGGAGUACGCCGGCAACGGUGAAACUCAAAGGAAUUGACGGGGGCCCGCACAAGCGGAGGAACAUGUGGUUUAAUUUGAUGAUACGCGAGGAACCUUACCCGGGCUUGAAUUGCAAGUGAAUGAUGUGGAGACAUGUCAGCCGCAAGGCAGUUGUGAAGGUGUUGCAUGGUUGUGGUCAGCUCGUGCCGUGAGGUGUCGGCUUAAGUGCCAUAACGAGCGCAACCGUUAUCGAUAGUUACCAUCAGGUUAUGCUGGGGACUCUGUCGAGACUGCCGUCGUAAGAUGUGAGGAAGGUGGGGAUGAUGUCAAAUCAGCAUGGCCUUUACGUCCGGGGCUACACAGGUGUUUCAAUGGGGGGUACAGAAGUCAGAUACAGGUCGAUGUGAUGCUAAUCCAUAAAGCCUCUCUCAGUUAGGAUUGGAGUUUGCAACCUGAGUCCAUGAAGCUGGAUUCGAUAGUAAU
rnacentral:rRNA from 1 species